CUACGGGGUGCUGCAGUGGGGAAUAUUGCACAAUGGGCGCAAGCCUGAUGCAGCCAUGCCGCGUGUAUGAAGAAGGCCUUCGGGUUGUAAAGUACUUUCAGCGGGGAGGAAGGGAGUAAAGUUAAUACCUUUGCUCAUUGACGUUACCCGCAGAAGAAGCACCGGCUAACUCCGUGCCAGCGGCCGCGGUAAUACGGAGGGUGCAAGCGUUAAUCGGAAUUACUGGGCGUAAAGCGCACGCAGGCGGUUUGUUAAGUCAGAUGUGAAAGCCCCGGGCUCAACCUGGGAACUGCAUCUGAUACUGGCAAGCUCGAGUCUCGUAGAGGGGGGUAGAAUUCCAGGUGUAGCGGUGAAAUGCGUAGAGAUCUGGAGGAAUACCGGUGGCGAAGGCGGCCCCCUGGACGAAGACUGACGCUCAGGUGCGAAAGCGUGGGGAGCAAACAGGAUUAGAUACCCCCGUAGUC
rnacentral:rRNA from 1 species